UACAGAGGUCUCAAGCGUUGUUCGGAUUCAUUGGGCGUAAAGGGUGUGUAGGUGGCGCCGUAAGUCGGGUGUGAAAUUUCGGAGCUUAACUCCGAAACUGCAUUCGAUACUGCGGUGCUUGAGGACUGGAGAGGAGACUGGAAUUCAUGGUGUAGCAGUGAAAUGCGUAGAGAUCCGGAGGAACACCAGUGGCGAAGGCGGCUCUCUGGGACGGUACUGACGCUGAGACGCGAAAGCGUGGGGAGCAAACAGG
rnacentral:rRNA from 1 species